GCUACAAGUCCAGUAGAACAUGAGCCUGACUGAAGCAAUUUUUGAAGUUUUAGUUGAACCGGAAGUACUUAUGGUUUUUGUAGGUUAAAAAUGACCAAAUAUCAGCAAUUUCAUGUGAAUCAUCCUAAUGUAGUUGACCCUUUAACCCUGCCCCACUGCCUUUCAUUCAGUCCACUCAGGCUGCCCUUGGAUCACCUCAGAUCCCUGGCUUCCUCCUUCCACCUUCCUUGGCAGGAUCCCCAUGAUGGAGAGUGAUGGGUGCCUGAGAGAGAAGACCACAAAGGAAGAGAGGGGAAAUGUCAGAGAGGCCGGGUAGUUAUCUGCAGGCCUCCCUGAGAGAACUGCCCUAAGCUGUCUGAGAUGCUGAAAGCCAGGGGCACUGAUCCAGCACAGAGUACAGAAAGGAUGGACUGGAUUUUCCCCUGAUGCCCUCAGGGGUCUGAGGAUAAAGCAGGCGGGACCUGCAGGGUCUGUAGGAAGUAAGCCAGAGGGAGGCACUGAGCUAACCACAGAUGGGAAAAGAAGAGCACGUGGCUCAGAGCUAAAGAAGACAUGGCCCUGUGACCAGAAGACUCUGUCCCAGCAGGAAAGGCACAUCUCAGUGUGGAAGGGUCUGGAGCUCAGGAGGGAUUCAGACUCAGCAAGGACUCAGGCUCACUAACCUCUGCUCAGGACAGCAAAACCCUCUAGGUUCUUUCCUGGGAGAGCCAUGCAACCAUGGUGUGUCAGUAGGAAGGUCUCAGGACAGGACCUAUGAAGUGAAGAUGAACAAAGACACAGAGGCCUGCAUUGAGCCCACCCUCCUCUCCACAGAGAUGUGAGCUCUGCUGUCCUCUUCCCAGGCUGGCCUCGUGUGGGGAUGGCUUUGGGGAAGCAGGGACAGGUCCCUGAGAUCCCACCUCUGGCUGAUUUGCAGGAAAAGAGGAGAUCGCAGAGAAGAAUCUGCACAGCCUCUGAUGAGAGCCUUUCUCACUCUCACACACACACAUACACACAAUGCCCAUUUUAGCUUGGCCUUUAUUCACCAGAACAUUUCUAAACAUUGCUUCUUAAAUCCUUUCGGUUGUAACCAACAGACAUAAAUCAUUUAUUUUGGCGAGACUCAGUGGUGAGACUCAGUGCACACAUACAGAUGUUGACAAUUAAACAAUGUUAUAAAACACUACUUAUAAUAAAGCUGCCCAGAAGAGGGCACUGGUGGCAAAUCUAGGCCUGAGUUUUUGUCCUUGCUGGAAUUUUGGAGAAUUUUAGCUGCAGACAUAGGUUCGUUAGAAAGUUGUGACAUCCACUUGGUCAGUUAUAAUGGGCCCUUAAAAGAAUAGCAUAGCAUAGCAUAGC